GAAGAAUGUGGAAACAAAUAUCCACAGCUGAAAGCUAAUUUUAGCCCCUGCACAUAUGCUCUUUUAGUGGUGACUAGAUGGACUCAAGUAUUCUGGUCCAUUUCCUUUGAAAUUACCAAGUUUGGGCUCAUAAAUAUCCCAUUGUUUAUUUAUCCAAAUCAAAAUAGAAAUAGACAUAACAGAGCAAAACAUAGAGACUUUCUUGGUUCUUCAGGUGGCUCUCGGUCAAGACCAACUACCAUACUACCUAAGAUUGAAAUAGUUUGGUUCGUUUGACUCGUUCUUUGACAUUUGGAGCUAACGAUCGGUAAUGUAAAGUCGACAUUGAGGAAUGUCGAGCCCUUCUACUUGCGUGCUUUCAAAUUUCUCGAAUGAUAAUAGUUACAAAAAGGCUAAGCUUGAAAGUUAUAAACUUAUUUUAAAUCUUUCUACAUGAUUUUUGGGGUUUUUGUGUGAGACACUAUGUUAUGCGCUUAAUUUCUUGUGACUUGUUGAUUACAAAUUCGUAGCGUAUUUUUUUAUGGAAUUGUUGAAAUCACUCUCUUGAUUUGCAUCAUAUAAGUGGAACCGUAAACUUGAUGUUGUGAAAGAGAUUCGGUCGAAGACCAUGACUUGAUAAAAUGAAAGUAAAUAAGAUUUAACAAAAUUUUGAUAUUGAUUUGCUCAUCCAGUCGAGGGGAUGACGGAACCCGUGGGUUCUAUACCCGGUGUACCAUUGCUCAUCCGGUCGAGGGGAUGACCGGGCCUGUGGGUUCUACACCCCGGUGUAUCAUUUCUCAUCCGAUCGAGAGGAUGAUCGGCCCGCGGGUUUUGUACCCCAGUGUACCAUAGCCUAUCUGGUGGGGAGAGUACGUCAGGGCUCGCGGAUGGCAUCCCGAGUGUAUACAUCACAUACGAACACGAGUCUUGAGAUCUGGACAUUGAAAUCAUGGAAUAAUAUGACACUUGAGAAGAUUUAGAAAGAUCCUAAACAUGGUUUACGUGACUGUUGCUUCUUCUGUGCUUUGAUAAAUUAAAUUUAUCUCUCAUGUAUUCAUAAAUCAUGUUCACGUCAUAUGUUUUGAUGAAUAAAAUUGUGUAUGUAAUCCAUCGCUCAUGCACUUAAUAUUUUCUUAUAUAUCUGUAUAACUACUGCCCCAUCAUGGGUGGUGGCCAUGACACAUCUCUGAGUAUUCCAAUACUCAAACAUCAUUUGUUUAAAUGGUGUUAGGUCGAGCAGGAGGUCAGGUGCAGGGUGGUCAAUGUGCGAACUAAGAUUCCUGCAACUUCAUACUUUUUGUCAGUCCACAUUUGAGAUCGUGGGAUUCACAUUGUUGUAUUUUUAAUUUUAUUUUUGUAUAGUAAGAGCUAGUCUCGCAAUUGUAUUAUUUCAUUCAUAGUUUCAUAGAAGCUCCAUAGAUAAACUUGUAUUACUUUUGGGUUAUAGGCUCCCGUUCGGAUUUGCAAAUAACAUUUUUAUUAUAUGACUUGGUUAAUGAGCUUGUUGAUUAAUAUUGUUCACUUUGGAUUACUCACUUAA